rnacentral:rRNA from 1 species
ACAAGUGAAUAAGUGCACAUGGUGGAUGCCUUGGCGAUUACAGGCGAUGAAGGACGUAGUAGCUUGCGAUAAGCUGCGGGGAGCUAGCAAACGAGCUUUGAUCCGCAGAUUUCCGAAUGGGGAAACCCGGCCUUUUAGGUCAUCGCAUACUGAAUACAUAGGUAUGCGAAGCGAACGCGGCGAACUGAAACAUCUAAGUAGCUGCAGGAAAAGAAAUCAACCGAGAUUCCCAAAGUAGUGGCGAGCGAAAUGGGAUGAGCCUUGUAUGUGAUAGUCAGUUUGAUAGUGGAAGUCUCUGGAAAUGGACGCCAUAGCGGGUGAUAGCCCCGUACACGAAAUCUCACUGGUGGUACUAAGCAUACGACAAGUAGGGCGGGACACGAGAAAUCCUGUCUGAAGAUGGGGGGACCAUCCUCCAAGGCUAAAUACU